UACGUAGGGCGCAAGCGUUGUCCGGAAUUAUUGGGCGUAAAGAGCUCGUAGGCGGCCUGUUGCGUCCGCUGUGAAAUCCCGGGGCUUAACCCCGGGCUUGCAGUGGAUACGGGCAGGCUGGAGGCAGGCAGGGGAGAACGGAAUUCCAGGUGUAGCGGUGAAAUGCUUAGAUAUCUGGAGGAACACCAGUGGCGAAGGCGGUGUUCUGGGCCUGUACUGACGCUGAUGCGCGAAAGCGUGGGGAGCGAACAGG
rnacentral:rRNA from 1 species